UACGUAGGGUGCAAGCGUUAAUCGGAAUUACUGGGCGUAAAGCGUGCGCAGGCGGUUUUGUAAGUUUGUCGUGAAAUCCCCGGGCUCAACCUGGGAAUGGCGAUGAAGACUGCAAGGCUAGAAUCUGGCAGAGGGGGGUAGAAUUCCACGUGUAGCAGUGAAAUGCGUAGAUAUGGGGUGGAACACCGGUGGCGAAGGCGGCCAUCUGGACGACAACUGACGCUGAGACGCGAAAGCGUGGGGAGCAAACAGG
rnacentral:rRNA from 1 species